CUGCUGCCCCAACGGCUUCCUGACGGGGUGGUUAAACAUCUAUCGGAGCA
rfam:Pseudooceanicola atlanticus strain 22II-s11g contig1, whole genome shotgun sequence.